rnacentral:rRNA from 1 species
UACAGAGGGGGCGAGCGUUGUUCGGAAUUACUGGGCGUAAAGGGCGCGUAGGCGGCCUCUUAAGUCGAACGUGAAAUCCCCGGGCUCAACCCGGGAACUGCGUCCGAUACUGGGAGGCUUGAAUCCGGGAGAGGGAUGUGGAAUUCCAGGUGUAGCGGUGAAAUGCGUAGAUAUCUGGAGGAACACCGGUGGCGAAGGCGGCAUCCUGGACCGGUAUUGACGCUGAGGCGCGAAAGCUAGGGGAGCAAACGGG